rnacentral:rRNA from 1 species
AUGAAGAUUUCCCAUAUAGGUCAUGCAUAUGUUCGUACCCCUACUCACAAUCUUCAUCUCAAAAAUAUCUUGCAUGUGCCCAAAGCCACUAAAAACUUGAUCUCUGCUCAUCGUCUAGGUAAUGACAAUCAUGUGUUUCUUGAAACUCAUCCUCAUUUUUUCUACGUCAAGGACAAGGCAAUGAGGCAAACCCUCCUCCACGGCAAGUGUAGAAACGGGCUCUAUCCCCUAUCAUCAGCUCCAAUAAGCUCGGGCAGACAUGCACUUGGCGCCACCAAGAUCUCUCCAUCAAGGUGGCACGAUCGUUUAGGACAUCCAUCCUUGGCAAUAGUUCAACAUGUUCUUAGACAAAAUAAAAUUUCCUUUUCUAGCAAAGAGUUGAAUAAAGAGGGAGUGUGUUAU